GGUUCCUUAGCUCAGUCGGUUAGAGCGUGGUGCUAAUAGGAGAAUAUACUUCUUCAGUUACGCCAAGGUCGCGAGUUCGACCCUCGUAGGAACCA